GCCCUACGGGGCGCAGCAGUCGGGAAUAUUGCGCAAUGGAGGAAACUCUGACGCAGUGACGCCGCGUGCAGGAAGAAGGUUUUCGGAUUGUAAACUGUUUUAGACAGGGAAGAAAAAAGACAGUACCUGUAGAAUAAGCCACGGCUAACUACGUGCCAGCAGCCGCGGUAAUACGUAGGUGGCAAGCGUUAUCCGGAUUUAUUGGGUGUAAAGGGCGUGUAGGCGGGAAUGCAAGUCAGAUGUGAAAACUCAGGGCUCAACCCUGAGCCUGCAUUUGAAACUGUAUUUCUUGAGUGCUGGAGAGG
rnacentral:rRNA from 1 species